GGCUUAUUUAGUAAGGCUAACACCAAGCGGAGGGCUGGGAGUGAAGAAAAUUACUUAGUGGCGAACGGGUGAGUAACGCGUGAGUAACCUGCCCUGGAGUGGGGGACAACAGUUGGAAACGACUGCUAAUACCGCAUAAGCCCACGGUGCCGCAUGGCACAGCGGGAGAAGGAUUUAUUCGCUUCAGGAUGGACUCGCGUCCAAUUAGCUAGUUGGUGAGGUAACGGCCCACCAAGGCGACGAUUGGUAGCCGGACUGAGAGGUUGAACGGCCACAUUGGGACUGAGACACGGCCCAGACUCCUACGGGAGGCAGCAGUGGGGGAUAUUGCACAAUGGGGGAAACCCUGAUGCAGCGACGCCGCGUGGAGGAAGAAGGUUUUCGGAUUGUAAACUCCUGUCGUUAGGGACGAAAAUUGACGGUACCUAACAAGAAAGCACCGGCUAACUACGUGCCAGCAGCCGCGGUAAAACGUANGGUGCAAGCGUUGUCCGGAAUUACUGGGUGUAAAGGGAGCGCAGCGGACCGGCAAGUUGGAAGUGAAAUCUAUGGGCUCAACCCAUAAAUUGCUUUCAAAACUGCUGGGCCUUGAGUAGUGCAGAGGUAGGUG
rnacentral:rRNA from 1 species